rnacentral:lncRNA from 1 species
ACUUUAACUGGGUAGAGUGUUUGGGAGACCAAGCAAUAGGUGGAGGCGGGAGGCCCCCAGGUGUUUUUAGUAAGUAAAGCAGCCAGCGGGUCUCAGUUUGAGCAGCCAACGUUCAGGCCUGUCUGUGGUGGUUUGCUUAGAGUAUGGGACUUCUAAACAACAGUUGACAGGAGCUGACUUGCAGGAGGCUUUUGGCUGUAGAAGGCAGUCUCCUUUUCUAGUGUUGCCUGUGUGCCUAGGGGAAGAUGGAGAUGAAGAGACAGGCUGAGGCAACUCUUUUCACGAGGGACUCUUCAGAACCCGCUGAUGAACUUCAUGGCGUCCCCAGAGCAGCAGCUUCCCUAUCCUCUACUUGGAUGUGCACAGCCCCAGCCCCAAAAGGAUUAACAGGAACCUGGCACAAUGCGAGCAAUUCGAGGGAGUUUUGCCCCUUUGAGAACAUCAAGGGCUGGUCCAGGCAGGUCUGCAUUUCCAGAGAGCACUGGCUCCAGUGGCGGCCACCCUGUGCUUUCAAGAGGCCACGGGCCUCAAGUGGGGAGGCAGAUUGCACCAUAACAUGGGUUCUGGAGUCAGGCUUCUGAUUCAAAGCCUGGCUGUACUACUUCCUACCUGUGAGGCCUUGGCAAGUCACUUACCCCUUUAAAACUCUGUUUGUUUGCUUAUGACAUGGAAGUUAAAAGAGAUAAUACUCAUAAAGGGCUCAGGACCGUGCCUGCCACCCAGGAAGCACACAAACCCCAGCCUUGCUGAUGAUGCCCUGUAACAUACAUCUCCUGCUCCAAGCUGCUUCCUCAGUGUCUGGCCUGCACAGAAGACUGCGAACUGUGAUCAGGAGCUCACGUCGUACAGACACUGCAAGUUUGAGAGACUGAAACCUGACUUCAUUAUCUUCCCUCAAAGCUGUUCCUCCUCCUGGUGCCCCUGUCUCAGUUAACAUGUGUGUAUCGCUCAUAAUGUCUUAGAAUCUUUUUAUGUGACUUCUCAGUUCAAGGCAACACAAGUUUAUUGAGCACCUACUAUGUACAAAUUGCCCAGAUGCUGGGGAUACAAUGGGAAACAUGGGCCCUGUUCUUCUUGAGAGGAGACUGAUUAAUGCUCCUUCAUCUCAACCAGGACACACAACUCCCUUAAAUAACUGCUUCACGUGCGACAUUAAUAAAUUUUCCUAAACAUUUAAACAGCAUUUAUAUAUGUAAUAUAUUCACUUUACCUCCUAAAUACUGUAUUCAAAUGCAUGAACUAACAAACAAAACCUCUUUAUAUAAAUAAUAACAACAACAACUAACUUAUUGAGCAUUCACUAAAAGUCGGGCACUAUUGCAGGCUCUUGUAUGAACUCAUUAAUUCCCUCACAACAACCUUAUGGAAUAG